rnacentral:rRNA from 1 species
UACGGAGGGGGCGAGCGUUAUUCGGAAUUAUUGGGCGUAAAGGGCGCGUAGGCGGCCCGGUAAGUCAAAGGUGAAAUCCCUCGGCUCAACUGAGGAACUGCCUUUGAAACUGUCGGGCUUGAGGCCGGGAGGGGGUAGCGGAAUUCCCAGUGUAGCGGUGAAAUGCGUAGAUAUUGGGAGGAACACCAGUGGCGAAGGCGGCUACCUGGACCGGUUCUGACGCUGAGGCGCGAAAGCGUGGGUAGCGAACAGG